CGGAGGAUCCAAGCGUUAUCCGGAAUCGUUGGGUUUAAAGGGUCCGUAGGCGGGUUUAUAAGUCAGUGGUGAAAGCCCAUCGCUCAACGAUGGAACGGCCAUUGAUACUGUAGAUCUUGAAUUAUUAGGAAGUAACUAGAAUAUGUAGUGUAGCGGUGAAAUGCUUAGAGAUUACAUGGAAUACCAAUUGCGAAGGCAGGUUACUACUAAUGGAUUGACGCUGAUGGACGAAAGCGUGGGUAGCGAACAGGAUUAGAUACCCUGGUAGUCCACGCCGUAAACGAUGGAUACUAGCUGUUCGGAGCAAUCUGAGUGGCUAAGCGAAAGUGAUAAGUAUCCCACCUGGGGAGUACGUUCGCAAGAAUG
rnacentral:rRNA from 1 species